GCCGAACCAGUGCCAGGAACGCCUUCACAUACCACGUGGCGUGGACAACCACCAGGGCUCGAAGGUUUUUCCGAAGCCUGAGGAAGAAUCCAAUACGAUCACAGAUGUUCCCUGUUCCACCUUUGUCCGUGAAGAACAGCUCCAGCUCUCCAAGUCUCAGGGCGGCUCCUGGCUCUGCAGCUCCUCCUGCUUUCUCCCCAGCCCUGAUGUCAGCACCCCCCCCCCCCCAAGAAGAAAAGAUCAUGAGACAACAUGAACAGUGUCCGAAGGGAGCCAGACAGUAGGUGGCAGACGCCGGUGUGAAGAACACGUCCCAGAGGGCACUGGUCUAUGUCUACAGAUAGUCCACCUUCUCUACCUGACUGCUGCCCGCUGCUGUGCUUGGCAGAGGGAAGGGCCAUCAGGUAAUCCCCCUGCCUCCAUGCUAGUGGUUUCACCUACGGUGUAGGAGCGGAAGGCGGCCCACAUCAUCACAGCUGGCUGGAACCCAGACGGACCUGCCCAGUUAACCCUGCGCAAAGCGGUCGCAGAUGACACCUAGUCAGCCCUGCCUUUCCUCUGCUGUGCUGGGAAAACAUGGCACAGGAAGGGGAGAAAGGAGAGGUCCACUGGGAAGCAGAACCGGGCUGUAAAUGUGGUUCUGGGCCAGGCUUCCUAAUGGCCAUUCUAAGAGAGGGUGGGAGUUAGAUUAAGGAGAGAGAGAGAGAGAGAGAGAGAGAGAGAGAGAGAGAGAGAGAGAGAGAGAGAGAGAUCUAUCAGCUAGAAGACAGGAACUUUAAACUGUGGAAUUGGUUCCAUACUGGAUUAAUUUCCUGCCCCCAACCACCCUGUCCCUUCUCUGCAAAUUCCUUCUCUUCAUGCUCUUCUUUGAGGAACCCGGGAGGGCUGGGUGGUAGGAGACGCCCUCCCUCUGUCUCCAGUCAGGCCAGGCCCUUGCUUACCCGACUUCCAGUGUCUUUUUUCCUGUUUCUUGUAUAGUGCCCAUCUUCACAGGUCGUCCUGGGUUCCUGGGACACUUUGCGAACGGGGAGGCCGUGGUCCCGGCCCCCACCUCUCCUUCCUUUUCUGUCUCACUGCUGCUCUUGCCUCUGAGGAGGCAGGGGGUGUGGAAGGGAGGUAACCUCAUCUUCAAACAGGUUUGGCCACCUCCCCUCCCAAGGAGCAGGUUUGCCCAAGAGCCCAGCCUCUCGCGUGGGGGCGGGCUUUCGGGUGGAGCGUGGGAUGUCUAAGGUGGCGAUUUGUUCUCCAACCAGAUUCUCUAUAACCUGGAAGCCCUUUUAAAGGGGGAUGGGGUGGGGGGCACUAAAAGAUAAUUGUGUGUGUGUGUGUGUGUGUGUGUGUGUGUGUGUGUGAGUGUGUGCAUUCUGGGGAAGCCUGAAGCUAACGUUGGAUAUCUUCCUCAGGAAAUCUGAGGCAGGGUCUCUCAAUUGAGCCCAUAGCUCACUAAUUCUUCUUGUUUUAGCUAGCCAGCUUAAACCCCUGGAGGGAUCCCCCGAGAGCCUGGGUUACAGGUGGAUGUCCCCUGCCUGCCCAGCCUCUGCAUGUUCUGGGGAUCCAAACAUGGCUCCUCUUGCUUGGAUAAGUGCCUCUCCACUAAGCCAGCUCCCCAACCCUUUAUUUUAUUUUCCAGUGUCUUACAUUUUAGAACAGUCUGAUGUGGAAUGUGUGGGUGAUCCUUCUGCCCCGGUUCCUAUCAGGAGCUAGGUCUUACUUAUUUUUAAAAUAUUACUUAUUGUAUGUAUGUGAGUGUAUGAGUGUGUGUAUGUAGCCACACAUGGACAAGGAGGCCAGGAGAGGGUGUCCUCCUCUCUCAUUUUGCCUGUUUCUUUGAGACAAACCUGGAUCUCUAAACCUGGAUCCUGGCUCUUGCAUUGGUUAGGCUGGAAUCCAACAGCAGUGUUCCCGUCUCUCUCGGAGCUGGGGGUACAGGCCUUUGUAGAGCUGCCUGUCUUGUUACAUGGUGCUGGGAUCUGAACUCCAGGCUUCAUGACUGAGGAGAAAGCACUCAACUGUGGAGCCUUCUCUCUAGCCCUGGGAGCUUAAAACAGGUUUUGGGUUUGGUUUUAAUUUUAUGGGCCUGAGUGUAUGGCCUGCAUGCAUGUCUCUGCACCAGGUUCGUACCUGGUGCUCUUGGAAGAUAGAAAAAGGUGUUAGAUCUCUUGGGACUAGAGUUACAGAUAGUUGUGAGCCCUGUCAGUUCUGGGAAAUAAACCUGGGUCCUCCGGAAGAGCAGCCAGUGCUCUUAACCACUGAGCCAUCUCUCCAGCCCUUAAAAUGUAAUUUUUAAAAUCCAUUUUUUUGGAGUGUGUGUGUGUGUGUGAGACAUCUUGUGAGAAUUCGUCUCUCCUUCCACCAUGUAGGUCCUAGGGAUCAACUUCAGUUGGUCAUCUUAGCACUGGGUGCCUUUGUCCACAUCGUCUCGCAACCCCAGCAGAUAGCUUUUAAAAGCCGGUCCUGGUGAAGGCCUGUAAUCUCAGCUACUCAGGAGGCUGAGGCAGGACUGCAAGUUCAAAUCCAACCUGGGCAACUUGGUGAGACCCUGUCUCAAAAUAAAAAGUUAAAAAUGGUCAGUGGUAGAACACCUGCCCAGCAUACAUGAGGUCCUAGGUUUAGUCACCAGAAUCAUACACACA